AGGGAGCAUAUUAGCAUAGGGGGCGGGGCUUUCAGGCUGCGGCGAGGUGCGCCCGAGGAGAGGCGGGUGCUCAUUAGCAUAGGGAGCGAGACCCUCAGGCCGCGGCUAGGAAGAAGAUAACUAGGGAUGUCCAGCGGCUUGCGCAGAUCAAGAUAGAGCCAAGCGGGGCCAGCGAAUCCCUGCCUUGCCAUGGGAUGGGUUUUCAAGCCAGGUCUGGACAGCUUAUAAGAAAAAACCGCC